rnacentral:misc_RNA from 1 species
CCACCCUCAAGCGCAAGCUUGGUGUUGGGGAUCGCCCCUCCCUCGCGGAGGCUGGCGUCCCUCGAAUCCAUCGGCGGUGCCGGUGCGGCCCUGAGCGCAGCAGCGAUGCAGCUCGAGGGUCCGCUCGACACGUGCCGCGAACGGCAGCGGAGACGCGGCCACGCUUCAAA